CCCUGACACUCAUGUUAUUGGAUGAAUGCCU
rnacentral:piRNA from 1 species